GCUAAACGCGAAGAACCUUACCAGGUCUUGACAUCCUAGGAACUUUCCAGAGAUGGAUUGGUGCCUUCGGGAGCCUAGAGACAGGUGCUGCAUGGCUGUCGUCAGCUCGUGUCGUGAGAUGUUGGGUUAAGUCCCGUAACGAGCGCAACCCUUGUCCUUAGUUGCCAGCCUGUUUACAGGCGUACUUUAAGGAGACUGCCGUAGAUAAUACGGAGGAAGGUGGGGAUGACGUCAAAUCCUCAUGCCCCUUACGUCCCGGGCUACACACGUGCUACAAUGGUCUGUACAGAGGGUAGCCAAGAAGCAAUUCGGAGCCAAUCCCAAAAAGCAGGCCCCAGUUCGGAUUGGAGGCUGCAACUCGCCUCCAUGAAGUCGGAAUCGCUAGUAAUCGCGGAUCAGCACGCCGCGGUGAAUCCGUUCCCGGGUCUUGUACACACCG
rnacentral:rRNA from 1 species